rnacentral:lncRNA from 1 species
CGUCAUCUCUCCUGAUCUUUGGUAUCCUGGGUAGCUCAGAGAUGUCUGUUCUUCUGGGCGCUGGCUUCAGGGGAGGCCCCGGCACCACACUGCGACAUGGGGGCUUAGAAUCUCUGCUUGAGAUCUUAGACGCGGCAGAGGCAAGGGGCAAGGUGUGCUUGUUGGUGCCGUUGAACCAGGGGCUGUGGCUCUGUCUGAAGCCAGGCACACUCC